rnacentral:rRNA from 1 species
CCUACGGGUGGCAGCAGUGGGGAAUAUUGCACAAUGGGGGAAACCCUGAUGCAGCCAUGCCGCGUGUGUGAAGAAGGUCUUCGGAUUGUAAAGCACUUUCGACGGGGACGAUGAUGACGGUACCCGUAGAAGAAGCACCGGCUAACUCCGUGCCAGCAGCCGCGGUAAUACGGAGGGUGCAAGCGUUAAUCGGAAUUACUGGGCGUAAAGCGCACGCAGGCGGUUUGUUAAGUCAGAUGUGAAAUCCCCGGGCUCAACCUGGGAACUGCAUCUGAUACUGGCAAGCUUGAGUCUCGUAGAGGGGGGUAGAAUUCCAGGUGUAGCGGUGAAAUGCGUAGAGAUCUGGAGGAAUACCGGUGGCGAAGGCGGCCCCCUGGACGAAGACUGACGCUCAGGUGCGAAAGCGUGGGGAGCAAACAGGAUUAGAUACCCUUGUAGUC